GGGGAAACCCAGGCUAAUACCGCAUACGUCCUACGGGAGAAAGCAGGGGACCUUUCGGGCCUUGCGCUAUCGGAUGAGCCUAUGUCGGAUUAGCUGGUUGGUGAGGUAAUGGCUCACCAAGGCGACGAUCCGUAGCUGGUCUGAGAGGAUGAUCAGCCACAUCGGGACUGAGACACGGCCCGAACUCCUACGGGAGGCAGCAGUGGGGAAUAUUGGACAAUGGGCGCAAGCCUGAUCCAGCCAUGCCGCGUGUGUGAAGAAGGCCCUCGGGUUGUAAAGCACUUUCAGUGGGGAAGAAAGCCUUCCGGUUAAUACCCGGGAGGAGGGACAUCACCCACAGAAGAAGCACCGGCUAACUCCGUGCCAGCAGCCGCGGUAAUACGGAGGGUGCGAGCGUUAAUCGGAAUUACUGGGCGUAAAGCGCGCGUAGGCGGCUUGAUAAGCCGGUUGUGAAAGCCCCGGGCUCAACCUGGGAACGGCAUCCGGAACUGUCAGGCUAGAGUGCAGGAGAGGAAGGUAGAAUUCCCGGUGUAGCGGUGAAAUGCGUAGAGAUCGGGAGGAAUACCAGUGGCGAAGGCGGCCUUCUGGACUGACACUGACGCUGAGGUGCGAAAGCGUGGGUAGCAAACAGGAUUAGAUACCCUGGUAGUCCACGCCGUAAACGAUGUCGACUAGCCGUUGGGUCCUUCGCGGACUUUGUGGCGCAGUUAACGCGAUAAGUCGACCGCCUGGGGAGUACGGCCGCAAGGUUAAAACUCAAAUGAAUUGACGGGGGCCCGCACAAGCGGUGGAGCAUGUGGUUUAAUUCGAUGCAACGCGAAGAACCUUACCUACCCUUGACAUCCUGCGAACCCUUCGGAGACGAAGGGGUGCCUUCGGGAACGCAGAGACAGGUGCUGCAUGGCUGUCGUCAGCUCGUGUUGUGAAAUGUUGGGUUAAGUCCCGUAACGAGCGCAACCCUUGUCCCUAUUUGCCAGCGAUUCGGUCGGGAACUCUAGGGAGACUGCCGGUGACAAACCGGAGGAAGGUGGGGACGACGUCAAGUCAUCAUGGCCCUUACGGGUAGGGCUACACACGUGCUACAAUGGUCAGUACAAAGGGUUGCGAACUUGCGAGAGUGAGCCAAUCCCAGAAAGCUGAUCUCAGUCCGGAUCGGAGUCUGCAACUCGACUCCGUGAAGUCGGAAUCGCUAGUAAUCGUGAAUCAGAAUGUCACGGUGAAUACGUUCCCGGGCCUUGUACACACCGCCCGUCACACCAUGGGAGUGGACUGCACCAGAAGUGGUUAGCCUAACCUUCGGGAGGGCGAUCACCACGG
rnacentral:rRNA from 3 species